GCAGCGAUGCCGCGUGAGUGAAGAAGGCCUUUGGGUUGUAAAGCUCUUUCGUCGGGGAAGAAAAUGACUGUACCCGAAUAAGAAGGUCCGGCUAACUUCGUGCCAGCAGCCGCGGUAAUACGAAGGGACCUAGCGUAGUUCGGAAUUACUGGGCUUAAAGAGUUCGUAGGUGGUUAAAAAAGUUGGUGGUGAAAUCCCAAAGCUUAACUCUGGAACUGCCAUCAAAACUUUUUAGCUAGAGUAUGAUAGAGGAAAGCGGAAUUUCUAGUGUAGAGGUGAAAUUCGUAGAUAUUAGAAAGAAUACCAAUUGCGAAGGCAGCUUUCUGGAUCAUUACUGACACUGAGGAACGAAAGCAUGGGUAGCGAAGAGGAUUAGAUACCCUCGUAGUCCAUGCCGUAAACGAUGUGUGUUAGACGUUGGAAAUUUAUUU
rnacentral:rRNA from 1 species